rnacentral:rRNA from 1 species
UGGUGGCGAGUGGCGAACGGGUGAGUAAUAUAUCGGAACGUGCCAGUCGUGGGGGAUAACGUAGCGAAAGCUACGCUAAUACCGCAUACGAUCUAUGGAUGAAAGCGGGGGAUCGCAAGACCUCGCGCGAUUGGAGCGGCCGAUAUCAGAUUAGGUAGUUGGUGAGGUAAAGGCUCACCAAGCCGACGAUCUGUAGCUGGUCUGAGAGGACGACCAGCCACACUGGGACUGAGACACGGCCCAGACUCCUACGGGAGGCAGCAGUGGGAAUUUGGACAAUGGGCGCAAGCCUGAUCCAGCAAUGCCGCGUGCAGGAUGAAGGCCUUCGGGUUGUAAACUGCUUUGUACGGAACGAAACGGUGAGCUCUAAUACAGUUUGCUAAUGACGGUACCGUAAGAAUAAGCACCGGCUAACUACGUG